rnacentral:rRNA from 1 species
CCAAUAGCGUAUAUUAAAGUUGUUGCAGUUAAAAAGCUCGUAGUUGAAUUUCGAGAUCCAAUUGUUGGUCGUGCUUCGGUACGUACUGGCAUUAUUGAUCUCUCCCUUCUGACGAUCCGCGAUGUCAUUAAUUUGGUGUCGCGGGGAAUCAGGACUGUUACUUUGAAAAAAUUAGAGUGUUUAAAGCAGGCUCACGCUUGAAUACACUAGCAUGGAAUAAUGAAAUAGGAUGUUUGAUUCUAUUUUGUUGGUUUCUAGGAUCGACGUAAUGAUUAAUAGGGAUAGUUGGGGGCAUUAGUAUUCAAUUGUCAGAGGUGAAAUUCUUGGAUUUAUUGAAGACUAACUACUGCGAAAGCAUUUGCCAAGGAUGUUUUCAUUAAUCAAGAACGAAAGUUAGGGGAUCGAAGACGAUCAGAUACCGUCGUAGUCUUAACCAUAAACUAUGCCGACUAGGGAUCGGAUGAUGUUAAUUUUUUAAUGACUCAUUCGGCGCCUUACG